rnacentral:rRNA from 1 species
CAGUAGCCACGGUAAUACGAAGGGUGCAAGCGUUACUCGGAAUUACUGGGCGUAAAGCGUGCGUAGGUGGUGGUUUAAGUCCGCUGUGAAAGCCCUGGGCUCAACCUGGGAAUUGCAGUGGAUACUGGGUCACUAGAGUGUGGUAGAGGAUAGUGGAAUUUCCGGUGUAGCAGUGAAAUGCGUAGAGAUCGGAAGGAACAUCUGUGGCGAAGGCGACUAUCUGGGCCAACACUGACACUGAGGCACGAAAGCGUGGGGAGCAAACAGGAUUAGAGACCCCCGUAGUCCCUGUCUCUUAUAC